rnacentral:rRNA from 1 species
AUUGAACGCUGGCGGCAUGCCUUACACAUGCAAGUCGAACGGUAACGCGGGGCAACCUGGCGACGAGUGGCGAACGGGUGAGUAAUAUAUCGGGAACGUGCCCAGUAGUGGGGGAUAGCCCGGCGAAAGCCGGAUUAAUACCGCAUGAGACCUGAGGGUGAAAGCGGGGGAUCGCAAGACCUCGCGCUAUUGGAGCGGCCGAUAUCAGAUUAGGUAGUUGGUGGGGUAAAGGCCUACCAAGCCGACGAUCUGUAGCUGGUCUGAGAGGACGACCAGCCACACUGGGACUGAGACACGGCCCAGACUCCUACGGGAGGCAGCAGUGGGGGAAUUUUGGACAAUGGGCGCAAGCCUGAUCCAGCCAUGCCGCGUGCGGGAAGAAGGCCUGGUUGUAA